UAUUGAAGAUUAUACGAAAUUCCAAACUAAAGCAAUUUCAAAAAAUCCAGCGUCAUUAAAUUUCCGACAGCAUUCAACAAUCUAUAUAGGUCCCUGAAAAUUUUCGGUAGCUGAGGAUUAAAUUCUUGAAAUUUUUGGGGAAAAUUUGAAAAUUUUAGAAUGGACGAUUACACGAGAGAAAUGAUGGAUUUAAAAACCCUGGUUACUCGCACAUUGGAGAAGAAGGGCGUUCUCGCCAAGAUCCGUGCUGAGCUUAGAGCUAGUGUGUUUGAAGCGAUCGAAGAGGAAGAUCAAGUAAUUGAGAAAGAAGAUGGAUUGCCUCCUGCACUAUUGGGUAGCUGCAAUGAUCGUGCUAAGCAGCUUCAUAACUCACCUUCAGGGAGGCUUCUAACUGCUUUAAUAUGUGAAUAUCUCGAUUGGUCUCAGUUAAACCACACAUUAAAAGUUUACUUGCCAGAGAGUAAUAUGCCAAAAGAUUCCUGGAAAUCCGAGCUAAAAGAUUUCAGCAGCAAGAAUGGCUAUGACUUGAACCGGCAUGGAGAUAGUGGGCCUUUGCUUUUGGACGUUCUUGAGGGCUUCUUGAAGUUCGAGAAUCUGUCUCAAGGAAGAGGUGCGAAUAGGAGAUCGACCGCUUCAGAUUCUGAAUCUCUAUCAAACUUGGAAGCACGCAACGCUAGGAGACCUUCACCACCAGCAGUUGCUGUGGGUAUACCUCAACUAGGAAGGCAUAGUGCUGCUUCACAAUCAUCUGAUCGGAGAGCUGGAUCAUCUGCGUCAGGCUACCGGAGAGAUGAAUAUAAUCGGAGGUAUGAAAAUGAUGGACAUUCUGAAGAUGUCAUCCGUGCUUCUGCUGCGUUAGAGAAUCUGCAAUUGGAGAGAAAUGCUCGUCGUGGGACCACAUCUUGGAGGCGUGGAGGAGAUGAUAUGUCCGAAGACGAUAGCACUGGAUAGACGUGGGUUAUGUGGAUUCGUUGAUCCACGUUCAUUUCAGCCUUGCAACGGCACUAGUUCAUGUAAGGAUGUCCAAGGGCCACGACCGUUAUAUUUUGACGGUUCCGUCGAAAAAGGACUACUCUGAUGACAUUUCUAUUUGUUGGGACUCGAUUUUCAAAAGGUGAAUGUUUUGGACUAAUUUCGUAUUUUGGCCAUAUGUUUAAGACCAAAAUUAACCAUUACUCUUUGUUUUAUGUACAAUUCAAUGGUCCAUAUCUGUUUUUUGAGUUGCAAAACGCACACCCCACAUAAGCACUAGGUGGCUCGAACUCUCGACUUAUUGAUUAAGGUGGUGUUUUUAUCAAUUA